UUUAUUUAUAUAUAAUUUUCGCAACGUUGCAAUUUUUAUAUGCGUUGUUCAAUAAUACAACUUACGUUAUAAGAUUGUAGCUAUGUAUGCUAUAAAACUACUUUAAAUAGUAGCAUAUUUAUAAUCAAGUGGCAUGAUGUAAGUUUAAUUAAAAUCAUUAAUGAUGUCAUCGAGACGUUAUUUUCCUCCUUCAUCACCGAAUUUUAUUAUUAAUUAUUCACGAGAAAAGAAACAUUAUAAACUUACAGGCUAAAUUAGAAAUCAUAAAACAUUUCGAAAAUAGAAUCAAAGUUCCAAUGUUUUAUUAAACGUUUUGUAAUAGUGAUAAAGGAGGUCCGCUCGUUGCUGAAAUGGGAACUGUGCUAAAGUUAUGACGUGGCAACCAAUUACGGAUUAAGAAAUGUCCACUUGAUCGGAGAACAAUAUGCUAUCGGGCUAAGUUAAUUUUUGAUAAAUUAAAGGGCGAAUGUGCAGAUGAAAAAAAGAACGCUAAAACGCCCAAAACGCUAAAGUUUCCAUAAUACAGAAGUUCGAUUCUAACGCAUGAUUCGCGGCAUCUACAUAACAUAAUUCAAUAAAAUAAUAUAAAACGAAAAAUUUUCUGCACCUAUUAUUUCCUUCCUUCCUACAAAUUAUUCUGAAAUCUCAUUAGCUCUGUAACGAAACACAGCUAUCGUAAUUAUAUUUGAAACGAAUCUGAAAAACAGUCGAGUUGGCCUUUCUUACUGCCGGAAAAUAUCUGCGAGGAGAACCGCCGCCUUGUAUGGUCGUAGAAGAAAGAACCAUGUUUAAUUAGAAAAAUUUAAAUAUUGUUACUUUUUUCUUAUUUCUUUUUUAAGCCCUUACAAUCGCGUAUGAGAUUCAUAUCUGUUACAUAUAGAUACGCUUAUCGCGAGAAAUUUAUAAGAAUAUAUUGUAUGCGUUAGAAGAAAAUUCUAACGAAACACUGGUGAUUCUAAUAAUGAAAUUUGCGUUCACUUCCAAAUUGUAUAUAAAAGUUACAAGACUGUAUUUCUUUGCAUUUGCGCGUAUGGAUUAUAUUUAUUACAAACGUACACUUGGCAAAAAAUUAGAAAAAACUAACAGUGAUCUUGAACUUUUCAAUAUGUGGGUCAAUAUAUGUGUACAUCUCUUGACUUAUCUUAAUAUACAUUGAAACUUGUUAAUAUAGUCAGCUAUUCACAUGUAAUACUUUGCAAUAUUUUCCAUCUUUGCAUAAGAUGACGCAGAAAGUGUAGCAAAGAUGCAAAUAAGUAUAUUUGGCUGUAAUAGUUUUUCAUUUAUCUUUAAGAGGGUAUGCUAGUCUACAAAUUUGACAAAAUCGGAAAUUUCUUUUUCAUAUUUCCAAAGUUUAGACAUUCAAGAAUAUGCUCUUAAAAGGGUUUUUCAAAAUUUCAAUUGUUUUACGAGUUACAGCCAUUUUUGUGACGCGGCAUCUGCUCCGGUCCGACCGGAACAAAUGGACAGUUUUAAUUAAUAGCAAUUACGGCUAUUGUAUUUUAAAAUUUUUCUUUUUCAUCGUUAAUUCUGUGUUCUACAUGUAAGGAAGAUAUUCUUGUAUGGAGCAGGAAUCGACGAUUAAAAAUAUAUAUCGACGAAAGCCAUGAUUCAUAUUAAUCAGUAUGAAUCGCAGUACCAUAAUUGAAGAUCGAUCGACCAUGCAGAAUCAUCUGAUUCAAAAUGUGUCUGCUCGAUAUCGAAACGUUAGAGUGAUCGAAGUAUGUGUUUCAAUCGUCGGAAGUGUUAUUUAAUUUUAUACGAUAAGACGACGUCACAGAAGAAUAAAUCGACCAGAAAAAUAAGGGAAAUCUACUGGAUAAGAGAAUUGGUUCGUAUCUCCGAACAUCUUUCGUUGACAAAAAUUCAUUGACUGAUAACCGGUAUCAUCUAUAUGCGCAGACUACAGAAGUUUCUAUGUUUGUAGAUUAUCCUGAAAUGCGAAAAUGCACGUUAUGCAGAUGAUACGCAAAAGUAUAAGAGAUAUUCAAAGUACAAUGCUUAUUCAUUGAAUGAUAAAUUAUUUUUUGACCUUUAUACUUUUAGACCUUCUCUCAAUGGAUACCGAGUAGUACUGUUUCAAUGCUAUUUUACCACGUUUAAAACAAUCUGCCUAACGUUUACUGUCAAAUUGCAAAGUAUAUAGGAGAUAUAAAAGAAAUUUUCUACUUUCCAUUUGUUUAAGUAGGUUCAUAAAAAUAUGAAUUUGCACAAAAAUCCUCAGUCUAAUGAUGAAAUAUCCGAAGCAAUCGCUAUGAUAUUUAAUGGCUGAAUAUUCAUAGACAUCUAUUUACUAAUACGACGUUCUGUCGUAGUGUUUUGUCAUUCUAGACACACAGUUACAUAUUUCAGGUACUUUCACCUAUCAAAAGAUUUUAGUUCUUUCCACCUAUACAAUGAUUACGUCGGAAAAAGGUUAAUUUAUUCGAAAUAGCAAAUAUACUGAUUCUCGUUUUUCCUCUUUCAUCUUCCUUCUCGAGUUUUAAAAAUUACAGAUAUCUGCUUUAUAGCCAGUAUUAAAUCUCAUACAUCGAUCGAUAUGACGUUUACUUUCUAUGGGAAAGUAUUAAACUAUACCUGUGUCGUAAAAUGACUAAUUUGAAAGAUACUUUUACUUUAAAGCGAAACAUAAUAUCGCCGUAUUAUGUAUUUACCACAUAAUAACACAGAAUAUCCAUAAUAAGCAGGAAAAGGUGUAAGAAAAUAUGGCACUUGGUUAUAUUAUUUACCGAAUGUCCAGCUGGAUAAAUUGUAAACUACAAAUUAAAUAAUAAAAAAAAAGAAUUUUGUUAUA